rnacentral:rRNA from 1 species
GAGUUUGAUCCUGGCUCAGGAUGAACGCUAGCGGCAGGCCUAACACAUGCAAGUCGAACGGUAACAGGAAAUAGCUUGCUAUUUUGCUGACGAGUGGCGCACGGGUGCGUAACGCGUAUACAAUCUGCCUUUAAGCGGGGAAUAGCCCAUGGAAACGUGGAUUAAUACCCCAUAGUCUAUAAACUUCACCUGGAGAUUAUAGUAAACAUUUAUGGCUUAAAGAUGAGUAUGCGUCCUAUUAGUUAGUUGGUAAGGUAACGGCUUACCAAGACGGCGAUAGGUAGGGGUCCUGAGAGGGAGAUCCCCCACACUGGUACUGAGACACGGACCAGACUCCUACGGGAGGCAGCAGUGAGGAAUAUUGGACAAUGGAGGCAACUCUGAUCCAGCCAUGCCGCGUGCAGGAGACGGCCCUAUGGGUUGUAAACUGCUUUUAUACGGGAAGAACCACAUCUACGUGUAGGUGCUUGACGGUACCGUAUGAAUAAGGACCGGCUAACUCCGUGCCAGCAGCCGCGGUAAUACGGAGGGUCCAAGCGUUAUCCGGAAUCAUUGGGUUUAAAGGGUCCGUAGGCGGGAUAAUAAGUCAGUGGUGAAAGUCUGCAGCUCAACUGUAGAAUUGCCAUUGAUACUGUUGUUCUUGAAUUAUUAUGAAGUGGUUGGAAUGAGUAGUGUAGCGGUGAAAUGCAUAGAUAUUACUCAGAACACCUAUGCGAAGGCAGAUCACUAAUAAUAUAUUGACGCUGAGGGACGAAAGCGUAGGUAGCGAACAGGAUUAGAUACCCUGGUAGUCUACGCCGUAAACGAUGGUUACUAGCUGUUCGGCUCGAUUGAGAGCUGAGUGNNNAGCGAANUGAUAGUANCCACUGGGAGUACGUUCGCAGAAUGAACUCAAGAUGACG